rnacentral:sRNA from 1 species
GCUCACCCCUUUCCCCUUCUCACAAACCCUACGCUUCUACCCUUCUUUUGAUUCUUCUCCUGGUGGUAUCUCUCCUGAGCUUUUCUUCCUUUUCUUAUUUUCUUUUUCAUUUUCUGUCCACGAAAAUUGUUCAAAUUUUUCUUGACCUUGCAAGUCCAGCCUCUCCUCCCCUAGGCUCCAGUUUGCUUCUUGGGCUCUUCUAAUCAUUUUAGUGCAAGAGUUUAGGACUUCGUUCGUGGAUGUUUUGUUUCCCUCUCUAUUCCUCCUGAGCUUGUACUCAUGUUUUUGUGUUGUAUUGUUUUCUUCUUAG